UCAAACAUGUCUUAUUGAAUAUAAUUUUAGUCGAUCUGCUCCAUGAAUUAAUUUUAAAUAGCUGCAGUAUUUUGACUGUACAAAGGUAGCAUAAUAAAUUGUCUUUUAAUUGAAGAAUUGAAUGAACGAAUUGAUGAAAUAAUUACUGUCUCUAAAUUAUAAAAUGAACUUAAAUUUUUAGUUAAAAUUCUAAAAUUUAAUUAUGGGACGAUAAGACCCUAUAGAAUUUUAUUUAAAUUAUUAUUUAAUUUAAAUUUUAUUUUUAAAUAAAAUAAUAAAUUUAAAUUUGAUUGGGAGGAUUAAUAAAUUUAAUAAACUUUAUUUUUAAAUAUAAUUUUGAUUAAAAGAUUUAAUAUUGAUCUAUAAUUUAUAAUUAAAAGAAUAAAUUACCUUAGGGAUAACAGCGUAAUAUCUUUUGAUAGACCUUAUUGAUAAAGAUGAUUGCGACCUCGAUGUUGAAUUAAGAUAAAAAUUAAAUGCAGGAGUUUAAUUAUUUAAGUCUGUUCGACUUUUAAAAUCUUACAUGAUUUGAGUUAAAUUCGACGUAAGU
rnacentral:rRNA from 1 species